rnacentral:rRNA from 1 species
GACGAACCGAGCGAACGUUGUUCGGAAUCACUGGGCUUAAAGGGCGCGUAGGCGGGUUCGUAAGUCUGUGGUGAAAGCCCCCAGCUUAACUGGGGAAGUGCCAUGGAUACUGCGAAUCUUGAGGAGGGUAGGGGCAUCUGGAACACUGGGUGGAGCGGUGAAAUGCGUUGAUAUCCAGUGGAACUCCGGUGGCGAAGGCGAGGUGCUGGACCCUUUCUGACGCUGAUGCGCGAAAGCCAGGGGAGCAAACGGG